GUCGGGAUAGCUCAGCUGGGAGAGCAG
rnacentral:tRNA from 1 species